UAAUAAUAAACUCAACACCGUGUCGAUUUUCAUUUCCAAUUAAGGACCUACCAAAGGUAGUCCAGCUUGUGCCGCCUAAGUGCCUGUGGUAGCCCGACAUCCCUACUCUUGGAAUGUGUCUGUCCUACUCGACCCCGUAGGCUUCUCAAUACCGCACGAGCGUACAUAAGUCGCGUAGGCUAACUCCGGAGUGCCGGCUUGUAGGGAGCGACCCUCACAAGCAUGUGCGAAUGAGCACAAUUGGCAAGCAAGCAUAGUCAACGUCUCAAAUACCCAAUCAUCAUGUCUCUAACAUGGCAAUAUUCACUAGCAUCUCGAAGAUCUAGUUCUAGGUCACAAUGUGAAAUUCUAAUAUUCACUAAGUCUAGUGCCCCUUUAUGACACUUAGACAUUUCGAUGAACAAGCACACUCCAACUCUCUCAAUGGCACUAUCUACUAAAU
rnacentral:lncRNA from 1 species